GCGAAAUUCCUUGUCGGGUAAGUUCCGACCUGCACGAAUGGCGUAAUGAUGGCCAGGCUGUCUCCACCCGAGACUCAGUGAAAUUGAACUCGCUGUGAAGAUGCAGUGUACCCGCGGCAAGACGGAAAGACCCCGUGAACCUUUACUAUAGCUUGACACUGAACAUUGAGCCUUGAUGUGUAGGAUAGGUGGGAGGCUUUGAAGCGUGGACGCCAGUCUGCGUGGAGCCAACCUUGAAAUACCACCCUUUAAUGUUUGAUGUUCUAACGUUGGCCCCUGACCGGGGUUGCGGACAGUGUCUGGUGGGUAGUUUGACUGGGGCGGUCUCCUCCCAAAGCGUAACGGAGGAGCACGAAGGUUAGCUAAUCCUGGUCGGACAUCAGGAGGUUAGUGCAAUGGCAUAAGCUAGCUUGACUGCGAGCGUGACGGCGCGAGCAGGUGCGAAAGCAGGUCAUAGUGAUCCGGUGGUUCUGAAUGGAAGGGCCAUCGCUCAACGGAUAAAAGGUACUCCGGGGAUAACAGGCUGAUACCGCCCAAGAGUUCAUAUCGACGGCGGUGUUUGGCACCUCGAUGUCGGCUCAUCACAUCCUGGGGCUGAAGUAGGUCCCAAGGGUAUGGCUGUUCGCCAUUUAAAGUGGUACGCGAGCUGGGUUUAGAACGUCGUGAGACAGUUCGGUCCCUAUCUGCCGUGGGCGCUGGAGAAUUGAGGGGGGCUGCUCCUAGUACGAGAGGACCGGAGUGGACGCAUCACUGGUGUUCGGGUUGUCAUGCCAAUGGCACUGCCCGGUAGCUAAAUGCGGAAGAGAUAAGUGCUGAAAGCAUCUAAGCACGAAACUUGCCCCGAGAUGAGUUCUCCCUGAGACUAUAAGUCUCCUGAAGGAACGUUAAAGACGAUGACGUUGAUAGGCCGGGUGUGUAAGCGCAGCGAUGCGUUGAGCUAACCGGUACUAAUGAACCGUGAGGCUUAACCUU
rnacentral:rRNA from 1 species